GACGAACGCUGGCGGCGUGCUUAACACAUGCAAGUGGUGCGACGAACCAGGGCUUGCCCUGGGGCAAAGCCGCGAACGGGUGAGUAACACGUGAGUAACCUGCCCCGAUGACCGGGACAACCCGAGGAAACUCGGGCUAAUACCGGAUGUGGCGCACAGAUAUAAGCCUGUUCGCUAAAGGAAGCUUCGGCCUCCGCAUUGGGAGGGGCUCGCGGCCCAUAGCUUGUUGGUGGGGUAACGGCCUACCAAGGCAACGAUGGGUAGCUGGUCUGAGAGGACGAUCAGCCACACUGGGACUGAGACACGGCCCAGACUCCUACGGGAGGCAGCAGUGGGGAAUCUUGCGCAAUGCGCGAAAGCGUGACGCAGCAACGCCGCGUGGGGGAAGACGGCCUUCGGGUUGUAAACCCCUUUCAGUUGGGACGAAGCUUCGCCGGUGAAUAGCCGGCUGGAGUGACGGUACCUUCACAAGAAGCCCCGGCUAACUACGUGCCAGCCGCCGCCGUAAGAC
rnacentral:rRNA from 1 species